UACGGAGGAGGCAAGCGUUAUCCGGAAUUAUUGGGCGUAAAGCGUCCGCAGGUGGCGAUUCAAGUCUGCGGUCAAAGACUGGGGCUUAACCCUGGAAAGGCCGUGGAAACUGAAUAGCUAGAGUGCAGUAGGGGUAGAGGGAAUUCCCGGUGUAGCGGUGAAAUGCGUAGAGCUCGGGAAGAACAUCGGUGGCGAAAGCGCUCUGCUGGACUGCAACUGACACUCAGGGACGAAAGCGUGGGGAUCAAACAGG
rnacentral:rRNA from 1 species